GACGAACGCUGGCGGCGUGCUUAACACAUGCAAGUCGAACGAGUGGCGAACGGGUGAGUAAUACGUGAGUAACCUGCCCUCUCUUUGGGAUAAGCCUUGGAAACGGGGUCUAAUACCGGAUAAAGGGGGAUGGGCUGGGGGACUAUCAGCUUGUUGGUGGGGUGAUGGCGUACCAAGGCGGCGACGGGUCGACGGCCUGAGGGGGUGAUCGGCCACAUGGGGACGGAGAGACGGCCCAGACUCCGACGGGAGAGGGCAGUGGCGGAUAUUGCGCAAUGGGCGAAAGCCUGAUGCAGCGAGGCCGCGUGGGGGAUGAAGGCUUUCGGGUUGUAAUCCUCGUUCGGUAUCGAACGGGUAUGUGGAGAAGAAGCGCCGGCUAACUACGUGCCAGCAGCCGCGGUAAUAC
rnacentral:rRNA from 1 species